rnacentral:lncRNA from 1 species
AAAUCAAUCAUUCUCUCUCUCAUUUCUCUCUCUCUCUCUCUCCCCAAUUUUUCUUUUCUCCAGCGACUCACCACUCACUCCAACGGCACUGUGAUGAUGAAGCCAUCAUAGUGGAGUGAGUGUCACCUCUGACAGCAACUAUGUCUCUACGAGCAGAUCUGAACAGCGACAUCAAAGGCGUAGUGUUGCCUCGUGCAGCUGAGGCGGGGUGGAGUCCAGCACAGAGCGACUAGAUUUGAUUGUAGAGAUUAAGAUAGGGGUUGGUGAGAGCAGUGGUGGAGUCUGGCCGGCAAGGCUUAUCAAAUUUCAAUCACAGAUCUGAAUUUGUGGUGGUUUACAACGGUUUUAUGGUGGUCAGGAAAAGUAGUGGUGGAGUCUUGACGGUUAGGCUUAUUAGUUUCCAAUCACAAAUCUGAAUUUGUGGUUUUUUGCAACAAUUUUAUGGUUUUUGUGGCAGAUUUAUGGUAGCUUUUGAACCAGUUUGUGGUGGUUUUAUGGUGGUGGCGGUAAUAGUUGCAUGUUUAUAGAGUGUGUCAAAUUCUAUAUCGACAUCUAGUGGUGUAGUAGUAGUGAUAGGUCACAUGUUUUGGGUGUGUUUUAAAGUUGGUAGACGAGGACGGUGGUGGUGGUGUUGGUGUUCGUAGCGGUGGUGUUUGGAUGGCGAUAACUCUGUUGGAUCCAACGAUGGCGGAGGUAUGUUGGAUCUGGUGAUGGAUGUGGAUUUGCUGGUGGCGAUGGUUGUAGAUCUUGGUUGGUAGGGACGGUGGUGGUGGUGGUGGUGGUGCUUGAGACAAUGGUUUUGCUGCACGGACUGUAGAUGACUGUGGUUUGAUUGUGGAUUGAUGACGGUGGCCGUGUUGGUGGUGGUCACAAAUUAUUUGGUUGAUUGUGACCCUUAAAUUGGUUACUUUGUGACCAAUAAACAAUAUGUGACCAAUAGAAAAUAUAAAUUGUGAUAAAAAAUAAUGUGUGGC